rnacentral:lncRNA from 1 species
UGAGGAGCAGAGGCCCUCGGGUGGGUGAAGUGUGUGGCAGGUGAGCAGAUUCCUGGAGGCAGGCUGGCGUUAGGAAGCCACUCCCCUCUGGGACUGCACUGUUCACAGGGCCAGGUGUGGUUGCUGCCACCUCAUCCUUCCACCUGUGUCACUGCUGCCUUCGGGGGAUGCAGCAGAGAGUAGCAGAAAGAGCACUGGCCACGGAACUCUGUGGAUAUAAGAUCUAAUCCCAGCUCUAGCCUACCAGCUGUGUGACCUUGACCUUGAUCAAGACUCUCACCCUCUUUAAGCCUCAAACUCUUCAUCUGCAAGAGGAAGAUAAUACCUUCUCCCUCAGCUUCCUGCAGAGGAUAAAGGGAAUCCUGAAUCUGAAGCAGAUGUGGCUGAGAUCUUUGGCCCAUGAAAGGUGAUCCUGCUUUACUAAGAGUUCCAGAUUCCAAGAUGGCCCCAUACAUGCAGCCCAGGAGAAAGGAGCUGCACCAGACACACUGGGAUUUGAGCUUUAACCGUCCUACUAAAGCUUGUCAGCUGUGUGCUCCCCAAAGGAGUACUUCCCUCUCUGUAAAGAGAAAGAAUUAAAGACUCUCCUUCCAGUAAGAGGAUCACAAUGGCCUUUAGCACACACUUCUGCCCUGGCUGUGUGUGCCACUGAAGCAAAACCAACCUCCUGCCAGAGGGUGCCUGGCAAGAGGUCAGCAGCAAGAUAAGCCACUCAAGGAUUACUGGAUCCAGGUGUGGACAAGGGUAGAUCAGAAGCGAGAAGGCCAGGAAAGCAAUUCAAGAGGGCAGGAAACAUCUGGAAGGUUCAUGCCUCCCUUGAGGGCUUUGAGGGGUGGAUGUUGUCCUGUCUAGUAUCAGGAAGCAGGGCUCUAGCCAUGAGCUCCAAAGAGCUGGUACAAAACUGUUUCUGGGGCUUGAAUGGACCAAGCCCAGAGGCCAGUAUCUGAAGCCAGGGAAUAAAGUCAGAGUGGGAGAAGAAAGGGCAAUUAGACACUGAGUUGGGUUGGAAAACUACUGGGCUAGGACCGAGAUUAUAACUUAACAGUCAAAAACAACAAUAAUGGUAAACAUAAGGGGUUCAUUCUUCUAACAUUCAACAAUCUUGCUAUGCUCCAGGGGUACAGAUAAAUAAAACUAUUCCCUUAUGGCAAGGAGCUCACAGAAAGCUGGAGGAAAACAGCCCUGUAAACUCAACAUUUUAACAGAGCAACUGGAAUGCUUUAGGAUAAAGAGGCUCAAAGUACUAUGGGAGCUUCAAGGAAGGGGCCAUUAACUCUGCCUGGGAAUCCUGGGGAAGGCUGCACAGAGACAGAGAUAUUUUGAACUGUGUUUUGAAUGAUGAAUACCAGGUUCCUCUGUUGGAAAGAGAGGCAGGCAUUCCAAACAACAGAGAGAACACCAUGGGCAAAAGCAGAGCUCUGUGCAGGACGGUGGCACAUCAUCAGAGUACGGAGCAUUGGUAGGAGGGGUCCUUAGAGGAGAAGCAGAGGGACAGGAGGAGGGGAGGAGAGGAGAGAGAGGACAGGACCAAGUCAGGGAGAGUCAGCAUAGCUGGUCUGAGUGUGGACCUGACGCACAGGUGGCAAGGGACCAUUGAGAGUCUGUUGACAUUGAUUAGGCUUCUUUGGUUAUAAGCAACAGAAACAAGUUCUCACUUACUUAAACAAGAAAAAAAAAAACAUGUCAUAGAGGGAAAACAGGUGGUUCCCACACCUGUUGGAGAAUGAGGAGUGUAGGGAAGGGACUGGAAUCAGGGCUGGCCUGGACUGCAGACUGCAGGAACAGGCCACAAUGUCUUCAAGGAGCUGUUGCCCCCAGGACAAGUCAAUUUCACCCCACUCCACUGGCCAGCCACAGUCCAGGGAAGAGUCUGACACAGGGCUGGGGUCACAUGCCCGCCUCCUGGUUGGCAGUCUCACCAAGAUCAUCCACUGUGGGUGGUGCUUCCCCAAAAGGAAAUCAGGGUUCUAGAACCAGAAGGGGAUUGACGCAGGUGCUGCCAGAGCUUGAUACUUGUGUGCCUCUAGUGUUUAAGCCAGAAAAUGACAAACACACAGUGCAGGGAUCAGCUAACUUUUCCUGUAAAUGGCCAGAGAGUAAAUAUUUUCAGCCUUGUGGAUCAUAUGGUCUCUAAGGCAGCUACUCAACUUGGCUGUUAUAGCCCAAAGCAGACAGACCACACGUAGACCAAUGUCUUUACUGCUUGCCAGGAAAGCUGUAUUAAUAAAAACAUAUAGUGGGCCCGAUUGACCCCUGGUUUAGAGCCAUAUUAGGGCAUAAGAGAAAUACAGAAGGUUAGGAAACUGAAAGGAAAGAGACCAAACCAGAAACUGGUCUGUCUAUAAAACCACGUCCUGGCCAGGCGCGGUGGGUCACGCCUGUAAUCCCAGCACUUUGGGAGACCAAGGUGGGCAGAUUGCCUGAGCUCAGGAGUUCAAGACCAGCCUGGGCAACAUGGUGAAUCCCCAACUCUACUAAAAUACAAAAAAAUUAGCCAGGCAUGGUGGCAUGCACCUUUAGUCCCAACUACUUGGGAGGCUGAGGCAGGGGAAAUGCUUGAACCCAGGAGGCGGAGGUUGCAGCAGUGAGCCAAGAUCGCGCCACUGUGCUCCAGCCUGGGUGACAGAGUGAGUGAGACUCCGUCUCAAAAAAAAAAAAAAAGCCAACAAAAAAACACAUCCUAUGGGCUGUCAUGCUAAGUGCGUCCUAUGGGGAAAAAAUUCUCUACAUUUUUCCUCUUUGGGACACUCCCAGGCAAAGCAUCCCUUUUACAAACUUCCUUUUCACAAGCAUUAAGUUCUGUUUCUUCAUGCAUUCAACUUGUUUCUUAAUUGUUUGUUUCUGAAGUGGGUUCUAUUUGUUUGGUGUGUUUUGUAAGCCUUUCAUUCUGGCAAAGGUAGCCACAGUUCUCCUCAGCAGGAUACCAGGCACGUAUUGACUGUUUUUUGAAAAAAUUGCACUGUAACCACAGGUUUCCUGGUGUGGUACACCUGUAUUUAUUGGAGUCAAUUUUUAGAAAUACAACAAUACAACUGCUUCCACACUUUCCGGGUUGCUGUUUCACUCACUGCUUGCAACCCUCAGAGCCUUUCUCCAUACUGCUCUAAGACAUGACAGCUUGGGCAAGAAGUGGCUGGAACGUGGAGAUGGCGCGCACAACCGUGGCCAGGCAAAAGCCUAGCCCUCUUUUGUAAUCACCUCUUCGGUGUGAGGCAAUAUGCUGUGAAUUAGUGUGUUCCAGGCCCAGAGUGGUAACAUAUGGUGUAUCUCUGCUCAUUCUACAUUAAAUCCUGACAUUUUGCAGCUGUCAAGAUAAAGCUGUUUAUAUGAGUAACAUUGUAGUUUGUUUAUAG